UGCCAGCAGCCGCGGUAAUACGAAGGGGGCUAGCGUUGCUCGGAAUUACUGGGCGUAAAGGGCGCGUAGGCGGACAGUUAAGUUGGGGGUGAAAUCCCGAGGCUCAACCUCGGAACUGCCUUCGAUACUGGCNUGUCUUGAGUUCGGGAGAGRUGAGUGGAAUGCCGAGUGUARAGGUGAAAUUCGUAGAUAUUCRGCGGAACACCAGUGGCGAAGGCGACUCACUGGCCCGAUACUGACGCUGAUGCGCGAAAGCGUGGGGAGCAAACAGGAUUAGAUACCCUGGUAGUCCACGCCGUAAACGAUGAGUGCUAGYUGUCSGCAUGCAUGCAUGUCRGWGACGCAGCUAACGCAUUAAGCACUCCGCCUGGGGAGUACGGUCGCMAGAUUAAAACUCAAAGGAAUUGACGGGGGCCMGCACAAGA
rnacentral:rRNA from 1 species